rnacentral:sRNA from 1 species
AUGUACGCUCCGUACACGCCGGUUCCGAGCGGGCCGUCCGCACCCACCUGACGGCCUCUCGCCAUGUUGGGUCAGCC